GCAGCUCAAAAUAGCACUGGCUGCAGCCCCGCCCCUGUUCCCCUCCCUCUCCCAGGCCCCUCCUGCCGGCUGAGCUGCCCAACCCUGGCCAGAGCCGGUCCCAGAGACUGAGUGGCCUCCAGGUCCGAGGGUACCAGGUCAGCUGGGCUCUGUCACUUGCAACUGAAAGGGCGGUACCUGAGGACAAAAGUGAGAGUCUCUGGACCAUGCAUGGGUAAGACAUCUGGAAUGUAGUGGCCUGAGGGCUUCCCCACACCACCCGCUGCUGGACUCAUCUGAUGUUAGAGCUCCAGAGAGAGACGUCCCAACAGAACCCUGAACUGUCAAGGGCAAAUAAGGCCAAUAAAGCCUCGUUCUGAGCAGCAUGCCAGGAGUUCUGCCCAUGGGGCAAUGGGGACCAUAACCGGCCCCCUCCCUGCGUCAGUCGCUUGAUGAACCAAAUGAGGAAGAAGAGGAGGACUUGGUGGAGAAAGGACUUCGGGGCAUGCUCACCAUGCUAGAGAGGCCCAAACAAGCUCCCCCAGC